AGAGUGAUCUGGCUGUAGCAUCUGUCACUCUGUUGAUUGCCAGAGUUGCUUUGACUUAUCUGGCUGACUAGGCUGGUAUCCCUUCCAAAGCCAUUCUGUUGACUGGACCUUCCCCAGUAGAGGGGGCCAAGGGUAUUCAAGUAGCUGUCAUCUCUUGAUAGACCCUCCAAAUAAACUCUCAAAACACAAAGUAAUUAAAUAAGAUCAUUUUGUUUAUGGGACCAGAGACAUGGCUCAGCACUUGCCGAGACCUGCAUUG
rnacentral:snRNA from 1 species